GACGAACGCUGGCGGCGUGCCUAAUACAUGCAAGUCGAGCGAAGCGGCGGAUGGGUGAGUAACGCGUGGGUAACCUGGACUUCAGUCUGGGAUAGCAGUUGGUAACGGAUGAUAAUACCGGAUACUUAAGGAUUGACCUGCGAUGAAUUAGCUAGUUGGUAAGGUAACGGCUUACCAAGGCGAUGAUGCAUAGCCGGGCUGAGAGAAUGAUCGGCCACAUUGGGACUGAGACACGGCCCAAACUCCUACGGGAGGCAGCAGUAGGGAAUAUUGCACAAUGGACGAAAGCCUGAUGGAGCCACGCCGCGUGUGUGAAGAAGGUUUUCGGAUUGUAAAGCUCUGUUGUUGGGGAAGCGGUAAUCAACCAGAAAGUCACGGCUAACUACGUGCCAGCAGCCGCGGUAAUAC
rnacentral:rRNA from 1 species